AACUUUGCACAGCUCACAAAGGACAAUCUGAUGCCACAAUGAAAGAGAAGCAGCACAUGGUGAUAGGUGCAGAACAAAAUGGUGAUAACAAGAAUCAAUUUGCUUUAAGGUGAAGGAUUACCGCGUUCUUGAUUCCCUAUUGGUUUAUGAGUAGUGUGUUCUGCUUCCCUUCUGUAGAUAAUCAAAUAAUCAACAUAACUCCUGCUAUGGACUAUGAACUUGUUGGGAUCCAUAAUGUAGUCCGUCCUCACAAAUUGCUAGACUAAAA
rnacentral:misc_RNA from 1 species